CUGACAGGAACAUAAUCUCAUGCAAUUUAUUGCAGAAAAUGGUACAAAGUAAUUAGACCUUUACGAGAAGCACAGUUUUGUCUUCAGUUUCCUCUCCCCCCACCCGGAAUGGCCUGAGCCGAAGCCAGCUCCCUCCGAGAAGUCAUUACCGCCUGACUUGCGUUUGAUAUUUAGACACCUUGGUCACAACAUCUUGCAUUCUCUCGGGAUGCUGAUUUCUAACUGCUCUUUGGCCUUUCCUGCAUUGGUCCUCCUCAGGCAGGGGAUCCCUGCUCUUCUAUAUUAAUGCUGGCUCCCCGUCCCCUGUCCACCAUGAGUCAAAGCAAUGUGAGUCCCUCACCAGAUGCAACUGCCCAGUCUUGGACUUUCCAGUGACCAGAAUCAUGAGCCAAAUAAACC
rnacentral:lncRNA from 1 species